GUGGAGGCAUUGGUGGGAUACUACCCUAAUUGUAUUGGAUUUCUAACCCGCAGCACUUAUCGUGCUGGGAGACAGUGUCAGGCGGGCAGUUUGACUGGGGCGGUCGCCUCCUAAAGAGUAACGGAGGCGCUCAAAGGUUCCCUCAGAAUGGUUGGAAAUCAUUCAUAGAGUGUAAAGGCAUAAGGGAGCUUGACUGCGAGACCUACAAGUCGAGCAGGGUCGAAAGACGGACUUAGUGAUCCGGUGGUUCCGCAUGGAAGGGCCAUCGCUCAACGGAUAAAAGCUACCCCGGGGAUAACAGGCUUAUCUCCCCCAAGAGUUCACAUCGACGGGGAGGUUUGGCACCUCGAUGUCGGCUCAUCGCAUCCUGGGGCUGUAGUCGGUCCCAAGGGUUGGGCUGUUCGCCCAUUAAAGCGGUACGCGAGCUGGGUUCAGAACGUCGUGAGACAGUUCGGUCCCUAUCCGUCGUGGGCGUAGGAAAUUUGAGAGGAGCUGUCCUUAGUACGAGAGGACCGGGAUGGACAUACCUCUGGUGUACCAGUUGUCGUGCCAACGGCAUAGCUGG
rnacentral:rRNA from 1 species